rnacentral:rRNA from 1 species
GUAUGUGUGCCUGCUUUGUCCACAGCAUGUGCUGAAUGAAUCACAUUUCUUGCAACUGAAAUGCAAAUGGCAUGGUGAAGUUCAUGUGACAUGACACAUGCUUGAGAUUCAUGAUGUGCAAGUACCAUGAGGGAAAUGUGAACAGGACUGUGGAAAGAGAAUUAAAUAAAGCCUGCAAUUGCUGGACAUGAAAGCAAGCGUAGACAUUCAUCGAAGUGUUACUGCAUCUUUACACCACCUUUAUGGUUACUGUAUGCUUUACAUUACAACACAAAUAAUGAAGUGCGUGUGUGUGUGUGUGUGUCUACUUUGCUUCAAUUGUUUCCACCUGGGAUCACUUGAAACAUUGUCUGAGCACUCUUCAGUAUCACUAUGUGUACACCAGUAUAUUCCACUCCUUGUUGGCACACAUGUGAGGAUGAUGUGUUUAUGUGCCAUACUUCUGUGUUCACGAAACAUGUUGUGCACAUCUUCACUUGACCCG